AGCCCAUCAAUUCAAGAGGUGGCUAAUUCCUCCAACAAAACUAAAUUAACAAUAUUAGCUCAAGUGAGGAAGCUGAAUCUUCUCAGGGUGUUAAACAGUUUG